GGGCCCGCACAAGCGGUGGAGCAUGUGGUUCAAUUCGACGCAACGCGCAGAACCUUACCUGGUCUUGACAUCCUCGGAAGCUGCCAGAGAUGGCGGGGUGCCCGCAAGGGAGCCGAGAGACAGGUGCUGCAUGGCUGUCGUCAGCUCGUGUCGUGAGAUGUUGGGUUAAGUCCCGCAACGAGCGCAACCCUCUCCUUUAGUUGCCACGCAAGUGGAUCUCUAGAGGGACUGCCGGUGUUAAACCGGAGGAAGGUGGGGAUGACGUCAAGUCCUCAUGGCCUUUAUGACCAGGGCUACACACGUGCUACAAUGGCCGGUACAAAGCGCUGCCAACCCGCGAGGGGGAGCCAAUCGCAUAAAACCGGUCUCAGUUCAGAUUGGAGUCUGCAACUCGACUUCAUGAAGGCGGAAUCGCUAGUAAUCGUAGAUCAGCACGCUACGGUGAAUACGUUCCCGGGCCUU
rnacentral:rRNA from 1 species